UCUUGAUCUUGAAACAAGUGUAUAUUGUGUCCCUUCACCACUGAUUUGUUCUAUAUUAUCCCCGUCAUAUAUCUGUAGGGAAUGGAAAAGAUCUAGAAGAUCUUGAAGUAGCAGCUAUAAGCCUUGAACUCACAACCUCUGGGUUACAGGUUCUGCAUUAAUGCUCCAUUCACACCUCAAACCUUUGCUGUAACCAAGGGGCCAAUCAGGGGAAUAAAACGCUUGGGCAUAAGAUCUUGCUGUCAAGUUUGUCCCGCAUUCCCCAUCUGUGUCAGAAAACAGUAAUUUUUGGAUCA